GUUUGAUCCUGGCUCAGGAUGAACGCUGGCGGCGUGCCUAAUACAUGCAAGUCGAACGAGGUGCUUUUGUAGCAAUACGAAAGUAUCCUAGUGGCGAACGGGUGAGUAACGCGUUGGUGACCUACCCCAAAGUGUGGAAUAACAGUUCGAAAGAACUGCUAAUACCGCAUGUGGUUAUCGGCUUUAGAAACUGAUAACUAAAGGAGCAAUUCGCUUUGGGAGGGACCUGCGUCCCAUCAGCUAGUUGGUGAGGUAAUGGCUCACCAAGGCUACGACGGGUAGGGGACCUGAGAGGGUGACCCCCCACAAUGGAACUGAAACACGGUCCAUACACCUACGGGUGGCAGCAGUAGGGAAUAUUGCACAAUGGGCGAAAGCCUGAUGCAGCAACGCCGCGUGUGCGAUGAAGGCCUUGGGUCGUAAAGCACUUUUCUCGUAGAGAUGAGCGAAGGACGAGUAUACUCGAGGAAUAAGUCUCGGCUAACUACGUG
rnacentral:rRNA from 1 species